UACGAAGGGGGCUAGCGUUGUUCGGAAUUACUGGGCGUAAAGCGUGCGCAGGCGGUUUGUUAAGUCUGCUGUGAAAUCCCCGAGCUCAACUUGGGAAUUGCAGUGGAUACUGGCAGGCUGGAGUAUGGUAGAGGAAGGUGGAAUUCCCGGUGUAGCAGUGAAAUGCGUAGAGAUCGGGAGGAACACCAGUGGCGAAGGCGGCCUUCUGGACCAAUACUGACGCUCAUGCACGAAAGCGUGGGGAGCAAACAGG
rnacentral:rRNA from 1 species